rnacentral:tRNA from 1 species
CGCUGUGUGACUCAGUCAGUAGAGCAUGGUGCUUGCAACACCAAAGUUGUGGGUUCGAUUCCUGCUGUGGCCA